rnacentral:rRNA from 1 species
GAUGAACGCUAGCGGCAGGCUUAAUACAUGCAAGUCGAGGGACAGCACGGGUAGCAAUACUUGGUGGCGACCGGCGCACGGGUGCGUAACACGUAUACAAUCUACCUAUAACAGGGGGAUAGCCUUUCGAAAGAGAGAUUAAUACCCCGUAAUAAAUUGAGUGGCAUCACUUGAUUUUGAAAGUUCCGACGGUUAUAGAUGAGUAUGCGUCUGAUUAGCUAGUUGGUAGUGUAAUGGACUACCAAGGCGACGAUCAGUAGGGGAUCUGAGAGGACUACCCCCCACACUGGUACUGAGACACGGACCAGACUCCUACGGGAGGCAGCAGUAAGGAAUAUUGGACAAUGGCCGCAAGUCUGACCCAGCCAUGCCGCGUGCAGGAUGAAGGCGUUAUGCGUUGUAAACUGCUUUUAUACAGGAAGAAACGACUCUUGCGAGAGGCAUUGACGGUACUGUAUGAAUAAGCACCGGCUAACUCCGUGCCAGCCGCCGCCGUAAGAC